CAUGAUCCGGCCAUUGCGCUCCAGCCUGGGUGACGAAAGUGAAAUUCCAUCUCAAAAAAAAAAAAAGUUAGCUGGAUGCUGGAUGUGGUGGCAUGUGCCUAUAGUCAGCCACUCAGAAGGCUGAGGUGGGAGGAUCACUUGAGCCUAGGAGUUCAAGGCUGCAGGGAGCCGUGAUCAUACCACUGCACUCCAGCCUGGGCAACACAGCAGACUCUGUCUCAAUUAAAAAAAAAAAAAGCGCAGAAGAAUAUUGGUUUAUGGAGAGUAUUAUUUUAAGUUUUAGAAAUUUUCUAUGCAAAACAAACAAUGGAAAAUAAGAAAUGCAUUACUCUAUAAUAAAAUAUAGCCUUUUCUCUCCCAUAUAUAUAUAUGAGUGGAUAAAAACAGUCAUAACUUCCUACACAUUUAAUCCUCUAUACUAACUCUCAUACCCACUUACCACUCCCUCAAUGACAAACAUACCAAAAAGAUGCUAAAUAAAUGAAAACAAUACUUUGUAUUCUUAACUAUGUAAAGUAUUGUACUUAACAGGUAUUUUCUUGGCUGACUGGUUCUCCAUACCCAACAAACACAGUGAUGUCAACUCUCACCACUCAUAUUAAACAAUAUAGCCAUUGCUGUAAAGUACAAAAGAGAAAUGCAGUACAAAUUGAAAAGGAGGAAAUAAAACUUUUAUUCAUCGCUGAUAUUAUCAGAUACAUAAAAUCCCAAGGAGACAAAAGCUACUACUAAUGAGAUUAGAAGGAUCCCAGAAACAGACACAGACGUGCACACACACCUCCCCACAGACACAGAUGCACACACACCUCCCCACAGACACAGAUACACACUCACAACACACUCAGAAGUACAUUUUAUUUUAUUUUGAGACAGUCUCGCUGUGUCACCCAGGCUGGAGUGCAGUGGCUCCAUCUCAGCU
rnacentral:lncRNA from 10 species